rnacentral:rRNA from 1 species
GACGAACGCUGGCGGCGCGCUUAACACAUGCAAGUCGAACGGAAAGGCCUGCUUUCCCUUGUGGAUUGCGGGUACUCGAGUGGCGAACGGGUGAGUAACACGUGAGUGAUCUGCCCCCAACUUGGGUAUAAGCCUGGGAAACUGGGUCUAAUUCCCGAUAGGACUGCAGGGUGGUGCCUGUGGUGGAAAACGAUUUUCUAGUGGUUGGGGAUGAGCUCGCGGCCUAUCAGCUUGUUGGUGGGGUAAUGGCCUACCAAGGCGGCGACGGGUAGCCGGCCUGGGAGGGUGACCGGGCGAAUGGGGCCUGAGCUCCGGGGGAGACGGCGGUGGGAGGCAGUAGGGGGGAGGGGUGCACCAUGGGCGGAAGCCCGGGGCGGGGAAGCCGGGUUCUGGAUGUGGGCCUUCCGUUUGGACACCGGGAACGCCCGUGAUGGAGAGGGAGUGACGGUAAUGGGUAAAGAAGCACCGGCUAACUACGUG